GCCAGUAUGAUAUCUGAAAGAGCUUUAACGGCAGUUUAACCGGUUCUGUUGUCCCACUUGAGCGAGGCCCCCUACUGAAAAGGCUGCUUCCUUCCUGCAACGUGGAGAGCUAUAACUCACCAGUGCCGGUUAGUGCUAUAGGGCAGGUCAUGGCAUGUGGGCAUAGCUGCGGUCUGUGUGCUCUGUAUUGAGGCAAGGCUAGUUGAACCAGUCUGUCCGUCCAUUGCUGGGAACCAGGAGUGAGUUAUGUGUAAGUGUGUGUGUGUGUGUGUGUGUGUGUGAUGAUAGAUUUGGAGGGCACCAUAUGCUGUGCGAACAUAUUUUGUUGUUUUUGUCACUUCCUCUCUGCAGGAUAACAGUUCUUUUUUGUUGAGGUUGUAAAGGAGUAACACCUAAUGCUAAGGUGUGUGGUGAAUGUGGAAAGGUGUGAGGGUUUCAUUUAGGCAGUUUUUUUGAUCAAUUUUGUGUAUGAUGUGUUUGUUCUGGUGAAAGUUGUUUGCUCUGGCUUAAGCCUUUUGUGUCGCUGUGACAAUCUUGCAAGAGGUGCAAAGGCUUGUUCUCACCUUCGCAGCGAUGUAUCUGGCGGCACAAAUCUUGAUGUUCAGUUACCUGUAAAUGGUCCACGUGGAGAGCUCCACAAAGCAGCGUAGCGUUUGACCACACCAUGUGCGGCCCCUUAGGAAUGCAAGCAUCUUGGAGUGCAAGCCGCAACAGGUUUAACCCACAUCGCCCUGUCAUCUGUGAGUGGGCAGUAAGAACCAGAAGGUCACUCUGAUGGAACUACAGAGGUCCUGCACAAGUGGACAAAUCCUAAAUUUUCUAGCGAUGCCAGAGAAAAAAUGAAAGCUCCAGUGUGCACAGAAAUGGACUAAUCUAAAGAGUGGUAGCUAAGGGUCACAGGGAGCCUGGAGCCUAUCCCAGUGGACUUGGGGCACAAGGCAGGGGGACACCCUGGAUGUCAGGUGUGUCAGGAUGUCAGGUGCCAACCCAUUGUAGGGCACAAUCUCACACACACUACAGACAAUUUGGAAAUCAAUCUUUGGACUGGCGGAGGAAACCCGAGUACUCAGAGAAAACCCCCAAUGCACAAGGAGAACAUGCAAAGUCUGCGCACACAGGGCGGAGGUGGGAUUCGAACCCCAAUCCUGAAGGUGCGAGGCAAAUGUGCUAACCACUAAGCCAUGAUUAUUAUCCAUUUAAGUUUCUAAAGUAGCACAUUGUAUGUGUACUGUACCGUUAAUAAACAGUCAACUAAUCUUUUGCGAAUGUUCUGUGGCUCCAUACAAGUUUGAACUCUUUAGCAUGAAUGCCAAGUGCUACAUCAACAGAUCAUAACACAUAGGCAUCUUUGUAGAAAAAAAAAGUGAUCAGAACCUCACACAUGGUCGAAAGUUAACCUUUAGACAACAGAAACACACAGAGAAGACACGACUAUGAUCAUCCUUGAGUGGUCUAGACGGAGCUUGGUUUUUACCCAGUUGAAUGUUUCUGGAAAGACCUGGAGGUUCCUCUAAACAGACUGGAGGAAUAUCCUUGAAUUCAGGUGUGCCAAGCUCAUAGCAUCAGACUCAAAAAGACUGUAAUUACUGCCAAUACUGCUUUAACAAUGCAUUGAGUAAAGGGUCUGAAUAUUUGUUUCAAAUAUAUCUUUCACAGAUUCAGAAGGAAAAAAAAUGAAUGCAGUACAUUUCAGAGAAAAGAGUAAUGUAGGUGGAUACACCGUGCAUGUGUGUACAGUACCCUACAGCUGCAGAAGCACUUAACUUGCACUGCUGAUGAAGGACUUUUGUCUGAAACAUCUUGAUUCUCUGGUAACCUUGAGUACUUCAUUGAACUUUUACUACUUAUACCAUGUACUAACAAGGCUAUUUAAGGUCUUUGCUAUGGCUCUGUUGCUUUUCCUACUUGAGUUGUAUUUAGUAAUGUUGACCCUGAGUGUCUCAACAUGUUUUCCUGAUAAAUUAUUUUUUUUUUAAACAAAAUGUCUUUAUUUAUGCUAAUGAAUGCACACUGUUUUGUUCAUAUUCAUAAAUACGAGUGUGUGUAAAUCUGAAGUGGAUAUAUGCACUGGAGGUAUA
ensembl:lncRNA